UAGACAAUGGAGAGUUGGCCACAACAGUUAGCAUAAGAUAUUUGACAAGCAUUUAAAGACUUGUGAGUUGCAAAUUGGUGUAUAACACAUUGUUCAACAAAAAAAAAGGGGUUGAUUUGCUAACUUCUUUUCGUUUCACUAGUUACAAUGGAUGAGCCUAGUAUAAAAAAAAAUUAUAAGAAUUUGAUUGUAUCAAUAUUUGCAUUGCUAUGUAGCAUAGAAUAUUUGAUGUGCAAUUGAGACUUUACGAGAUG
rnacentral:lncRNA from 1 species